GCAUGUUGUAGGUUUGUAUUUGCUUUUAUAUUACACAGCCAUGUUACAAUGCUUUCGCACACACAGGUGUUCCCUGUUAAAGGUAGGAUUUUAAAAAAAAUACCCCUGUUUGUAUCAUUAGAGAUUCUACUUAAGCAUGGUGAAUUGUUAGUGCAGGGCUCACCUAAGAGGUUUUGCCUUGACGUGACACGUGAGCUUACCUUUAAAUUGCCAUUGGAAUUCUAUUAAAAAAAACACCAGUUAUUUAAAUGUGCAUAGGGAUUAGGGAUAGGGCACAAGUAAUGC